AGGGCUGGGCGCAGUGAUUCAUGUCUGUAAUCCCAGCACUUUUAGACCAAGGUGAGAGGAUUGCAUGAGCCCAGGAGUUCGAGACCAGCCUGGACAACAUGGGAAUCUUUAACCAGUUUCAGUGUAGUAGUGAAAAAGUGCUUCCAUCUGACACUCUCCGCAGUGCUCUGGCAAAGACUUUCCAGGAUGAACAACGUUUCCAGCUGGGAAUUAUGGAUGAUGCUGCAGAGUGCUUUGAAAACCUCCUGAUGAGAAUUCACUUCCACAUUGCUGAUGAAACCAAAGAGGAUAUAUGUACUGCCCAACACUGCAUUUCCCAUCAGAAAUUUGCAAUGACAUUGUUUGAGCAGUGUGUAUGUACUAGCUGUGGUGCCACUUCUGAUCCGCUGCCUUUCAUCCAG
rnacentral:sRNA from 1 species